UUAACAUUGCCUCUGGAUGGUAAAUGCAAAUGAUUUUAAUUUUCUUUUUCCUUUUCAGCAUUUUCUCCAAUGAAGCUGUGAUACUUGAGCAAAAAGAAGAAACAAUAAGUUUCUUUAAUAACAAAAGAUAAUAGGAUAUUAUGUUAAGAGGGAAAAAAACCCACAGGAUUUCAAACUUACAUGCACAGAAAAAAACCUGAUAGGAAAUGGACCAAAAUGUUGAUUGUGAUUAUGUCUUUUACAACUUUGUGUACUUCCAAAUUUUCCACAAAGAGCAUGUUAUUUUAUAAUCAGGGGAAAAAUGGUGUUUUGCAGGGGAACAUUGUCAGAAUAGUAUUAGUACUUCCUUCAAAGAUUAUAUAACACACACACACACACAGACACACACACACACACACUUUUUUUUUUAUUUUAAGAGUAAUUCAGGGCCCAGGGAAAUGAAGUCAGCUAGAUUUAUUAAAACACUGAAGCUAUUCUGAAUCGAUGAAAAUCCGCGAGUUCACACAGCAGUUCUGAUUAACUGUUUGCACUGCGCAGGAUGGAGUGCAGUGUUCAGCUUAUAAAACGCCAGCCUCCCUCUGUAUAGGUGCUCACAGUGACCGCACGGUGAAAUGAAAAGGGAGCAUUGAUUUUGAUUCUGCCCACGUAGAAAAGUGGAAGCCUGGGGUAUGAAUGUUCUGGGGUCCCACACGGGUAGAAAAAGCCCCACUGUUCUUCCACUCCCAACUGCUCCAAGCAAGUCUUUCAUUCAGGCUAUGUUGCUGUUUCAGUUCAAACCCCCUCCUUGUGAAAUGUAUUGGCCCUUUUUUCCCCACCUCCCACUACUUCUCCCCGGCCCCGCUUCCCAGGCCAACUCCAAAACAGGAGUAUUCUAGCUGAGGAUGCUCAACGACGAAGACUGCUACCCACGUGAAUCCAGCCAAGCUUCUAUUUAAGUUGCCAUCAGGGUUUUGACAUGGUUUCCAUAGUUUCUUUCCACUGUCCAAAGUGUGGUACUGCUGUGGGCGCCACCCCAAAACGGAACGCAAGGAGCAGAUAUUUUGUAAAAAUAAAAAAAUUGAGGCCCAAGGCCACAAGCUGCUACAUAGAGGUAAGAGGAUUUAAACCCAGAGGAGUCUGAUCGCAAGGUCCCGGGCUGCUGCUGAGCCUCCGUGGCAUUUUGUCCCAGGGUAAAUUUCCUCACGUGACCCUUCUGGGGUCUUGCAGUCUUGGCUGCUUCCCCAUGGUUUGUUUCUAUGGUACCUGCGGUAAAGGAGCAGCCCAUACCUACACCUGCAUGUCUGAGGGAGGGGGCAUGCUUCCUGCUCUCCGCCGGCAUUUCUGAAAAGCAGAAUCACAAGUGGAAUUUUCGGGCAUAAUGUAGCACAUGCACAGAAAGUGCAGGUCUGGGCAAAGCAUCGUCUCCUCUCUCACCUCCCUUUGCCUAGAACACCUCGCACCCUUCUCAUCUUGCUGUGUUGACCGCCAAGUCAGGCCCUGGGGGCGCUUUCCUACCUCCUCCCUUCCUAAAUUGUGCCCCCUCUGGGUUCCCACAGCAACUGUGGCUGAUUCCUGUCAUCACAGCUGUGUAAUUUACAGGUCUUUCCCCCCAGGCUGCAAAAGCUUCGCUGUGCAGGAUCUCUGGCUUGUUCAUUUCAAGUGUUUGAUCUCUACAACCUUGCCCUAAGUAGUUGCUCAAUAAGAGUCCUAUGGGUGGCCAGCUUUCAAAUGCACAUUUUGUAAAUUCCAUUCUUGGGAUACUGAGUUUGCUUAAAGCAAAGGUACAGUGGUCUGACCUAGAGCUCUAAGGUCUUGGUGAGCCAGCUGCUUGGGUGUGGGACCUGCGCAGUCAAGCAGGACCCCAUGCAGAGAAGGGUCCCACACCUGGUUUAAUGUUCUGCUUUCGUUGUCAUGAAAUUCUUAAUAAUUUUUGAACAAGGGCUCCCUGCAUUUUCAUUUUGUACUCGGACCUGCAAAUUAUGUAGCUGUUCUGUAGGCUGGAGUGUGUCCUGACCACGGUGGGUCCUAAUCAGAGUAUUACACAAAUAUCUGCACAUCCCCUGAAAUCACCUGCAAAAUUAGGUGUGUGUAUACUUGUGCGCUUUUUUCUGGGGAGCAAGUCUAUGGCUUUUAUCAGACCCCCAGGGAAGUUAAGAGCCAUUGUUAUUAAUAAUAACAACAAUAGCUAACCUUCACUUAGGCUUGUUGUGUGCCAGACUCUAAGGACUUUACCUGUGUUGCCUUACGCCUCACCAGAGUAUAAUUGGGUUGGGGCAGGGCAACGAGCAGUAUUGUACAUUUCCCUCCUUUCUAAUACUCCCUACUCCUCUGUUCCCCAACCAGAGGAGAGAAGAAAACCACCAACCUGGUCCUCCCUUCUUUUAUGGAGUUGGCAGGAGCCUGAACCUUUGUUUGGAGGAAAGGAGAACCACCCCUUACUUUGUCCUGAUUCACCCUUCAGUUUCCUCUGCUACUCCCAAGUUCCCCAAAGGCGACUUCCUCUUUUGCCAGACUGGGAAGAGGUGAUUGGGUAAGUGGGCAAGGAGCCUCUUCAUGUCAAGCUGACUGGUUAUCAGGGCACCAAGAAGGAGCUGUAGCCAGCUCACCAGGACUCCUGCCGCCAGAAUCCUGACGUAAGCUUGAGUGGCGGGUGCACCUCCCAGGUUGCAGGGAGCUGGUGCCCUUAGGAUAUGUAUGGAAAGGCCAGCAGCCCUGCAGGAGCCUAGAUGGGCACUGACUUAUGGGGGUAGAUUAAUGAGGCUUCCUCCUAGUACUGCCCUCUUAACACAGGAUAGAGUCCACAGCUGGCAUUCAGGCUUGUUAAUGUGCUCUAUGUCUCACUGUGACUGGAGUGUGAAUUCAGGUAUAUUGCACCCAUUUAUUUUAUGCAUCUCACUCUUGGGCUGGACCUUGUGAAAACAAGCUGAAAACUCAACACUGGUGAGCACCAUCCCUGGUUUUGCUGUAGCAUGAAGGAAAUUUAUGACCUUGUGAAUUUAUGGGGUGGGGGGACCUUGGAUACACAGGACCCCCUAACUUCACCCUCAGUUCUCUGAACUUUUUAUUAUUAUUUCUUUCCUUUAGUGACCUUUCUGGACUGUUUACUUCCUGUGUUUAGAAAUCCAGCUUCACAGUUUUACACCAGAUUGGGCCUUUUGGAAUGUGCCUCUAUUUGUAGUUCAACAAACUGUUAUCUGGCUACAGGUCUUGGUUCCUACUUCUUAUCAAUCUGUUCCUCCGCUUUCUGUUUUUAUUGUCCUAUUUCUGGCCUCCCCAACAAGAAGGUCUUAUUGUACCUGUCCUUUGGGAGUCUUUCCUACAACAAAUACUAGAUUGUUCUCACUCCCUGGCUUCCUGGUUAGCUCUCAGAGUGGCUGAUACUAACAGUGUAUCUUCAGCUCAGCGCUGACGAAAAACCAAAACCAAACCAAAAAACCAAAACCCCACAGGAACUACUAGAUGUCCUGGAAAUUUUCAGUCUUAGUGAAACAGACAAAACAAUUUUGACAGGAAUGCUGCCUUGGAAGAUAAUGGCAUCCCAAAACAGUCUGAGUUGCUUGCUGCCCUCUCUUGCCGUGCCACUUUCCCUUCUCUGCUGCUGCUUCUCUUCCAAGAAACUUCCGGUCACAUUCCUCCCUGGAAGGUAGAGGAGGGGAAGACCAACACUGUUGAGCACCCAUUAGGCAUCAGGCCAUGCAUUUCAUCCUCAAAAUCAACUUGUGAGGCAGGUGAUGACAGAAAUCAAGGGAUAGACGGAUUAGGAACUUGCCCAAAUCAGUUAGCAAGAAAGUGGCCCUGAAACACGUGUCAUGUUCUUAACAACCAGGUCAGGGCUUCCCCUCUUAUAAACUCUUGUAUUGUCAGCUUCCCAAGUCAGUCUCCUUCACCAGGUUCUGAGUUCCUCCAGGGCAGAGGCUGUGUCUUCCUGUAUACAUUAGGCACUCAAGAAAUGUCAGUUUCUUUAUUGCUUUCUCUUCCCUUAUCUGUCACUAAGCAGGCUUGAAUCUGCUGUCUAAUGAUGUGCCUGGCAUUCUCCGUAAUUCAAGGAUGUAUUAGUGUUUAUGCCCCUUGAUUUACUCGAGGAAAUAAUAUCAACACACAUGUUACGAAUAAUACAAAGCAGUAAGUACCUUAAGUGCUCAGUUGGGUGGAAGAAGGAAGGAGAUUAAUGAGGGCAGAAAUAGAUAUGAUAGAAAUAAACUUCAUAAAAGAUAUGGGGUCUUCAGCCAUGGAGGAUGAAUAGGAUUUGGAGGUUAAUCUGUGCCUUCCGUCCACAAGCAGUUAACAAGCUCCUAUCCUGUGGCAGACAUGGUCUGGGUUUGGAGAACGAGGAUUCAGGGGAAAUAAGUAAAUGAUUGACUAGGGAAGUGCACUUGGGGCUGAACUUCGGUGCCUCCAGGGAGAAGUAAGAAACCGAAGCUCAGAGCUGUCACAUAAAGAACACUGCAUCCUAUUGAGAGGUUGAGGCAAUGGGAAGAACUGAUCUUUUCUCUUCCCCCAAAGAAUAUUUUUUAGGAGGGAUGAAUGAGGGAUGGGUGCCAAAUGCCAAGCAUCAAUUAGUAUCCCUUUUAGAUUCACCCUCAGCAACGCUCCAGUUUUCUCAGGAAGAAAAUUGGUUUUCAAAAGUGUCAGAAGGACACAGCUUUUCCUGGAGAUCUUGAUUAAUCUUGAGUUAAUUAAUCUCACUUCUAAAGCUGUGAAAUCUUAACAUAUCACACAGGUCCAGAGGGGUCUGGAAAGAAAACACAGAUUCAAAAGGAAAACACUCAUUUAGAAGAUAUGUGCGUGACCAGCAGGCAGGGCUCAGUCUGUGCUCCAAUGAAAAACUACACACAGUGCAAACCUUAGGUCAAAAGGAAAGUUAGGACCUGUGGCAAUUAUUUUAAUGCUUUCAGGAGAACUCAAAGUUAGAAGGACCAUAGAGAACAUCCAGUUCUAGUUCAGUUCCUCCUGGUGAAGAAACUGGAACCCAGAGAGGUCGAGCCCCUCACUCUGGGUCUCAUAGUUGGUGGUAGAGCUCCAACUGGGGUCUUGGCGCCAAGAACAGUGUUUCAGAUACAUCAAGGUUUAAAGUGGGUGAAAUGUCUGCAUUUCCAAUGUCUCUGGAAGGAUACAGAGAGUGUGGGUAACCGUGGUUGGUUCUGCGAAGGAGAAAUGAGUGGCCAGGGAACAGGGGUGGGAGAGAGAUUUAAUUUUCACUGAAUACUUUUUGUACCUUUUGAAUUUUGUACAGUGUAAACGUUACCUAAUCAAGCAAUAAAAAUUAUUUUUAAGAAUU